UACAGAGGGUGCAAGCGUUAAUCGGAAUUACUGGGCGUAAAGCGUGCGUAGACGGUUGCGUAAGUCAGGGGUGAAAGCCCCGGGCUUAACCUGGGAACUGCGUUUGAAACUGGGAGACUCGAGUGUGGCAGAGGGGGGUGGAAUUCCACGUGUAGCAGUGAAAUGCGUAGAUAUGUGGAGGAACACCGAUGGCGAAGGCAGCCCCCUGGGUCAACACUGACGCUCAUGCACGAAAGCGUGGGGAGCAAACAGG
rnacentral:rRNA from 1 species